UUCGGCAGCACAUAUACUAAAAAAAAAAAAAAUUGGAACGAUACAGAGAAGAUUAGCAUGGCCCCUGCGUAAGGAUGACACGCAAAUUCGUGAAGCGUUCCAUAAAAAA
rnacentral:snRNA from 1 species